UACAGAGGUCCCAAGCGUUGUUCGGAUUCAUUGGCGUAAAGGGUGCGUAGGCGGCGCGGUAAGUCGGGUGUGAAAUCUCGGGGCUUAACUCCGAAACUGCAUUCGAUACUGCCGUGCUUGAGGACUGGAGAGGAGACUGGAAUUUACGGUGUAGCGGUGAAAUGCGUAGAUAUCGUAAGGAAGACCAGUGGCGAAGGCGGGUCUCUGGACAGUUCCUGACGCUGAGGCACGAAGGCCAGGGGAGCAAACGGG
rnacentral:rRNA from 1 species